rfam:Rhizobiales bacterium NRL2, complete genome.
GCGCUGGAAAAUUCCAGCCGAUUGCUUAUAUUGCAGGCGUCGGGUGACCGACUAUGGCGAUAAACGCUACGUGGAAUAAGCGUAACGGACCCGGGGGCAGUACCCGGCGCCUCCACCAAUUUCCCGCCUCGCGGGGGCUUCAUGGGGGCGAAACAGGAUCGACGUGCGUGGUAAAGACGUGGUUUUCGCCCGGAAUGGCUCCGCCGUUAUCGGGCCGUUUUCACAAGUGCCAAUGACAACGAAAUGGCGCUCGCUGCCUAAUAUUGCCAGGUAAGCGCGGCACGGGGGACGCCGGGCAACAGAAGUCCCCCACU